UUGAACGCUGGCGGCAUGCUUUACACAUGCAAGUCGAACGGCAGCGGGGGCUUCGGCCUGCCGGCGAGUGGCGAACGGGUGAGUAAUACAUCGGAACGUGCCCGAUCGUGGGGGAUAACGCAGCGAAAGCUGUGCUAAUACCGCAUACGAUCUACGGAUGAAAGCAGGGGACCGCAAGGCCUUGCGCGGACGGAGCGGCCGAUGGCAGAUUAGGUAGUUGGUGGGAUAAAAGCUUACCAAGCCGACGAUCUGUAGCUGGUCUGAGAGGACGACCAGCCACACUGGGACUGAGACACGGCCCAGACGCCUACGGGAGGCAGCAGUGGGGAAUUUUGGACAAUGGGCGAAAGCCUGAUCCAGCAAUGCCGCGUGCAGGAAGAAGGCCUUCGGGUUGUAAACUGCUUUUGUACGGAGCGAAAAGGCUCUCUCUAAUACAGGGGGCGCAUGACGGUACCGUAAGAAUAAGCACCGGCUAACUACGU
rnacentral:rRNA from 1 species